AUGACACGAAAGUAUGUCAUCACAUUCCUCGACGACAUCCUGACGUACAUCCCUUCCUUUGACGAGCAUUUGCAGCACCUGCACCAAGUGUUGGAAAUGCUACGCGAGCACAAACUAUAUGUGAAGCUUUCAAUGUGCUCUUUUGCCUAGUCCUCCAUCAAUUAUUUGGGGCAUGUGAUCUCAGCAGCUGGGGUCGCCUAGGAGACAGAGAAGACUGAUGCCAUUAUGAAGUGGCCGCAGCCAUCGUCCCAAACGGAGCUGCAUGCAUUCUUGGGCUUAACCGGGUAUUAUCAAAAAUUUGUCAGGAACUACAACAUCAUCACUAAGCCACUGACAACACUCCUUAGCAAGAUGGGUUUUCUGUGGUCAGAGGCAGCAACUGCACAUUUCAGAAACUAA
rnacentral:rRNA from 1 species